rnacentral:rRNA from 1 species
AUUGAACGCUGGCGGCGUGCCUAACACAUGCAAGUCGAGCGGUAACAGGUGUAGCAAUACAUGCUGACGAGCGGCGGACGGGUGAGUAACGCUUGGGAAUCUGCCUAUUAGUGGGGGACAACCCGGGGAAACUCGGGCUAAUACCGCAUACGCUCUACGGAGGAAAGCCGGGGACCGCAAGGCCUGGCGCUAAUAGAUGAGCCCAAGUCGGAUUAGCUAGUUGGUAGGGUAAUGGCCUACCAAGGCGACGAUCCGUAACUGGUCUGAGAGGACGACCAGUCACACCGGAACUGAGACACGGUCCGGACUCCUACGGGAGGCAGCAGUGGGGAAUUUUGGGCAAUGGGGGAAACCCUGACCCAGCAACGCCGCGUGAAGGAUGAAGUAUUUCGGUAUGUAAACUUUCGAAAGAAUAGGAAGAAUAAAUGACGGUACUAUUUAUAAGGUCCGGCUAACUACGUGCCAGCCGCCGCGGU